rnacentral:rRNA from 1 species
CGCCGCGUGAGGGAUGACGGCCUAUCGGGUCUGUAAACCUCUUUCAGCAGGGACGAAGCGUAAGUGACGGUACCUGCAGAAGAAGCACCGGCCAACUACGUGCCAGCAGCCGCGGUAAGACGUAGGGUGCGAGCGUUGUCCGGAUUUAUUGGGCGUAAAGAGCUCGUAGGCGGCUUGUCGCGUCGACCGUGAAAACUUGGGGCUCAACCCCAAGCCUGCGGUCGAUACGGGCAGGCUAGAGUUCGGUAGGGGAGACUGGAAUUCCUGGUGUAGCGGUGAAAUGCGCAGAUAUCAGGAGGAACACCGGUGGCGAAGGCGGGUCUCUGGGCCGAUACUGACGCUGAGGAGCGAAAGCGUGGGGAGCGAACAGGAUUAGAUACCCUGGUAGUCCACGCUGUAAACGUUGGGCGCUAGGUGUGGGGGGCCUCUCCGGUUCUCUGUGCCGCAGCUAACGCAUUAAGCGCCCCGCCUGGGGAGUACGGCCGCAAGGCUAAAACUCAAAGGAAUUGACGGGGGCCCGCACAAGCGGCGGAGCAUGCGGAUUAAUUCGAUGCAACGCGAAGAACCUUACCUGGGUUUGACAUGGCCGCAAAACUUGCAGAGAUGUAAGGUCCUUCG